rnacentral:rRNA from 1 species
GUGGGGAAUAUUGCACAAUGGGGGAAACCCUGAUGCAGCGACGCCGCGUGAAGGAAGAAGUAUCUCGGUAUGUAAACUUCUAUCAGCAGGGAAGAAAAUGACGGUACCUGACUAAGAAGCCCCGGCUAACUACGUGCCAGCAGCCGCGGUAAUACGUAGGGGGCAAGCGUUAUCCGGAUUUACUGGGUGUAAAGGGAGCGUAGACGGAUGGACAAGUCUGAUGUGAAAGGCUGGGGCUCAACCCCGGGACUGCAUUGGAAACUGCCCGUCUUGAGUGCCGGAGAGGUAAGCGGAAUUCCUAGUGUAGCGGUGAAAUGCGUAGAUAUUAGGAGGAACACCAGUGGCGAAGGCGGCUUACUGGACGGUAACUGACGUUGAGGCUCGAAAGCGUGGGGAGCAAACAGGAUUAGAAACCCCAGUAGUCC